rnacentral:rRNA from 1 species
ACAUGCCUACAAAUUAGCGUUAAUGCACCAGAUCCCAUUAGAACUUCACAGUUAAGCGCGCUCGGGCUAGACUAGUACUGGGAUGGGUGAUCGCCCAGGAAGUCCUAGUAUUUUACAUGCC